GCAUAUCAAUAAGCGGAGGAAAAGAAACUAACAAGGAUUCCCCUAGUAACGGCGAGUGAAGAGGGAAGAGCUCAAAUUUGAAAGCUGGUACCUUCGGUAUCCGCGUUGUAACCUCGAGACACGUUUUCCGUGCGGCGCUAUGGACAAGUUCCUUGGAACAGGACAUCGUAGAGGGUGAAAAUCCCGUACUUGCCAUGGAUGUACCGUGCUUUGCGAUACGUGCUCUAAGAGUCGAGUUGUUUGGGAUUGCAGCUCAAAAUGGGUGGUAGACUCCAUCUAAAGCUAAAUAUCGGGGAGAGACCGAUAGCGAACAAGUACCGUGAGGGAAAGAUGAAAAGCACUUUGGAAAGAGAGUUAAAAGUACGUGAAAUUGUCGAAAGGGAAGCGCUUGAAGUCAGCCAUGCCGCUCAGGACUCAGCCUGGCUUUUGCUUGGUGUAUUUCCUGGGUAGCAAGUCAGCAUUGGUUUGGAUCGUCGGAGAAGCAAGUCGGAAUGUGGCGCCCUCGGGCGUGUUAUAGCCUUCUAUUGGAUACGACGAUCUAGACCAAGGAACGCAGCGCGCCUUAUGGCGGGUCUUCGGACACCUUCGCGCUUAGGAUGCUGGCGUAAUGGCUUUAAGUGGCCCGUCUUGAAACACGGACC
rnacentral:rRNA from 1 species